CUUAUUGUAGUGAAACCCAAACUUAUUGCAGCAGCUGGUGGGGGUAAAUUAACUUCCACAGCUGUGGUACCCAACUGUGAAUUCCAACUGGCCAAACACACCUUGCAGUACAAUUUCAGAGUUUUACCUUUGCCUGGAUAUGAUGUGAUUCUGGGAUACGAUUGGUUUACUCUCAUGAGUCCAGUAGUCUUCAACAUACCAGAGAACACUUUCAGUUUCUCAUUGCAAGGAAAGACAACAGUUACUGCUGCAAUCUUAACACACCAGAGAAAGUUAAAGAGGUGCCAGCUGAGAAAAUGAACAAAUUACUGGAUAAGGGAGCUGAAGCAUUUUUGCUGCAGGUGCAUAAUAUCAUUCUACAAGCUCCUGCUGGUUUCAAAACUCCUCCUCAAGUGCAGAAAUUUUAAUGGAAUAUGCAGAUUUAUUUGAGGAACCCCAAAACCUGCCUCCACAUAGGGAGUGUGACCACACAAUCCCUCUCAUGCCUGGUACUGAACCUUCUUGUAACACCCCGGAUGUAAUUUACCUUAUACGUAUCCCAACUCUUGCCGUUUCCGGCGCUAAGUUAUUUUAUUUCCUCGGGUCGUUGUCAUGCAUCUCAUAUCAUGUCAUCAUGUGCAUUGCAUUUGCAUUCGUGUUCGUCUCAUGCAUCCGAGCAUUUUCCCCGUUGUCCGUUUUGCAUUCCGGCGCUCCUAUCUCAUCCGGUGGUCCUUUCUACCUUCUUUUCGUGUGUGGGGGUUGAAAAUUUCCGGAUUGGACUGAGACUUGCCAAGCGGCCUUGGUUUACUACCGGUAGACCGCCUGUCAAGUUUCGUACCAUUUGGACUUCGUUUGAUACUCCAACGGUUAACCGAGGGACCGAGAAGGCCUCGUGUGUGUUGCAGCCCAACACACUUCCAAUUUGGCCCAAAACCCACCAAAACUUUCUCCAUCAUCUAGAGCGUUCGAUCACGAUCGCGGGCCGAAAACCGCACCUCAUUUGGACUCUCCUAGCUCCCCCUAUGCCUAUAUAUAGAUCCUCUCCCGAAAUUUUCGGGUCUUCUUCCCCAAACCCUAGACCCCCUUCCUCUCCGCGCGCCGGACAACGUCCGGACGCGCCAGACACGUCCGCCCGCUUCGCUCGGACCAACCGCAGCGCGCCACGUGGGCAAGCGUGCCCACAUCACCGCCGGCCCGCCCGGGCCCAAGGCCGGCCCUCUCCUCCCGCGACCGGGCCCGAGCCGCAGCGCUCCGCCCUCCGCCUCCUUCUUCCUCGCCGGCGCCGGACCCCGCCGCCGUCUACUCCACGCCGCCGCAUGCCAUCGCCGGCCUCACCGCUCCGGCGAGGCACCGCCUGCACCGAUGCUGCGGCCGCGCCACCGCACGUCCCGGCGAGCUCCUCCGACGCCCCGCUGCACCGGCGACCCUCCCGGAUCCGGCUCCUCCUUCCUCCGGCGACCUCGGCCCAAGUCCGGCGACCUCGAAGCUCCGGCCGAUGAUCCUCGACAUCCGCGUUGCUACAGUACCCCGGCCAGAUCUGGAUCCAAAUUUCGGAUCGGUUGACUUUCUCCCUGAAACCCUAGUUAUUUUGCGUAUUUCGUCAUGUCGUAUCUCCGCAUCCAUAGCUCCGUUUUGGGCGUGUAGCAUAUCAAAAUGUUUGCCUCAAAGAGUACAUCAUUUCAUCUCAUUGCAUCAUUUUCAUUUGAGCUCAUCUUGAUACCCGCAAUGCUGUUGUAAGAGAGCUAUUUGAGAUAAUUGUCAGAUCUGCUGCACCAAAUAGCUAUUUGUCAUUUUUGCCAUGAUUAAUGUGUGCAUGAUAUGCUCCUGAGUUCUACAUGUGUUUUGUUAUAUGCUUUGCCAUCUUUACAGAGGUGCUUACCAUGUAUUUUUGUGAUGUGUGUGGUGACUAGCACAAGCUUGCAAAGUAGUGCAUUCGUUAAUGCUGAUUUCACAGACUUAGAAUUCCUCUAAGUCCUUGAUCUGUUUUUAUCAAUAUGCCAUAUGUUCAUGUUGUUUUCUAGUGAUCCGUGCCUCUUUUGAGGAUGAUCAGUAAGGAUGAUUUGCUAAUAUUGUGGUGCUCUAUCCAUCCAUGUCUUGUUUUGCAAUUAUGGACCACCCUAGCUUGAGUCAAUCGAGCUCUACUUUUGCUAUUUCGUGAAUCCGGGCAGAUUGUUGACUCGUUAGCGAUUUUGCCAAGGAUGUUGUUGUUGAUCCGUGCAUGCUAUGUUGUUGUUCUUGUCAUGUGUAGCUUCUAUAAUAUGUAUUAUAGAUGGGUGUAUGCUUAGUUUGUCAUGCCUUGCUCUGUAGUGAGUGCAUCGAGCUCGUGAACAUGUCUACUCGUUAACAGAUUCGCAUGCUCCAGUUUUUCACUAAGUUUGUAACCUGAUUAUGUUUUUGCCAUGUUCACAUGCUUGCAAUUGUAUUUUCUGAUCCCUUUUGGCUCAAGGUCACUAAGGGACGUUUGUUAAGUACUUUGAGUAGCUUCAUGUCAUGCCUUGAUUUGCCAUGUUAAGUUCUUGUAGCAUAUAGUUUUCUUGCUCCAAAGUGUGCUACCUGAUCUGAAAUUCCAGGCUUGCGUAAAUUUCACUAAGUCUGAAACCUGUUAUCGUUUGCAUUUUUGCCAUGCUUGUUUGAACCUGUUAAUGGAUGAAUUGGCCAUAGCUCAGUGUUCAUCUUUUGUCAAGCAUCAUGAGUGGAUCCCUUCCAUGUAUUUUCUUGCCAUGUUUGAGUGUUGUAGCAUAUUUAUCUUGUUGCAUUUAGAUGGCUACUUGCUGUUUAUCGCAGACAUGUGCCAUAUUUGUUUUGCUUGCCAUUUCCAAACCGUGCAUCCGAUUCCGGUGAUCUUUAUAUCGAUUUCAACCGAAAUGACCUCACCUUUCCAGUGGCACUCUUGGAUUUACAUGUUGAGGCCAGGUCGAAUCAUUCCUUGUCAAAUCUUGCAUAUGCAUCACAUAUCGCAUCCCGCAUAGCAUACCAUGUUUGCAUCAUGUUGUUCGAGCUUUUGCACGUGGUUGAUUGUGUUCCUUUUGCUUGUUUGUCUUGUUUGGGUAGAGCCGAGAGACGAGUUCGCUAACGAGGAGCCCGUUGAGUUUGCUUACGAGGACCAAGUCAACUCUGACAACUUUGCAGGCAAGAUGAUCAUACCCUCGAAAUCACUUCUAUCUUUGCUUGCUAGAUGCUCGCUCUUUUGCUAUGCCUAUGCUACGAUACCUACCACUUGCUUAUCAUGCCUCCUAAAUUGCCAUGUCAAACCUCUAACCCACCAUGUCCUAGCAAACCGUUGAUUGGCUAUGUUACUGCUUUGCUCAGCCCCUCUUAUAGCGUUGCUAGUUGCAAGUGAAGUUUGGAGAUCGUUCCUUGUUGGAACAUUGUUUAUUGUUGGGAUAUCACUAUAUUAUCUUGUUAUCUUAAUGCAUCUAUAUACUUGGUAAAGGGUGGAAGGCUCGGCCUUUUGCCUAGUGUUUUCUUCCACUCUUGCCGCCCUAGUUUCCGUCAUAUCGGUGUUAUGUUCCCGGAUUUUGCGUUCCUUACGCGGUUGGGUGAUAAUGGGAACCCCUUGACAGUUCGCCUUGAAUAAAACUCCUCCAGCAAUGCCCAACCUUGGUUUUACCAUUUUCCAUCUAGCCUCUUUUUCCCUUGGGUUUCCGGAGCCCGAGAGUCAUCUUUAUUUAAACCCUCCCGGGCCAGUGCUUCUCCGAGUGUUGGUCCAAACUAGAGCCCUGUGCAGCGCCCCCUCGGGGAAACUCGAGGUUUGGUUUUAGUUGUAUGGAGCGCUCAUCUGAGUGUGCCUUGAGAAUGAGAUAUGUGCAGCUCCUAUCGGGAUUUGUCGGCACAUUCGGGUGGUGUUGCUGGACUUGUUUUAGCAUUAUUGAAGUUGUCUUGUAGAACCGGGAUGCCGAGUCUGAUCGGAAUGUCUCGGGAGAAGGUUUAUCCUUCUUUGUCCGUGAGAGCUUGUGAUGGGCUAAGUUGGGACUCCCCUGCAGGGAUUUGAACUUUCGAAAGCCGUGCCCGCAGUUAUGGGCAGAUGAGAAUUUGUUAAUGUCCGAUUGUAGAUAACAUGAACCUUAACUUAAUUAAAAUGAAUCAACUGCGUGUAUUACCGUGAUGGUCUCUUCUCGGCGGAGUCCGGGAAGUGAACACGGUGUUGGAGUAAUGUUUGCCGUAGGUUGUUCUAUAGUUCUUCGUUCGUGCUUUGCCUUUUCUUCUUGCUCUCUUUUGCGAACAGGUUAGCCUCCAUAUAUGCUAGUCGCUUGCUGCAGCUCCACAUAUUACCUUGCCUUACCUAUAAGCUUAAAUAGUCUUGAUCGCGAGGGUGCGAGAUUGCUGAGUCCCCGUGGCUCACAGAUUACUUCCAAAUCAGAUGCAGGGCCCGAUGACUCCGUUCCAGAUGAUGCGCUUGAGCUCAAGUGGGAGUUCGACGAAGACUCACGCCGUUACUAUGUGUCUUUCCCUGAUGAUCAGUAGUGGUGCCCAGUUGGGGCGAUCGGGACUGUGUCGCAUGUUGGGGUUGAUCUUUUAUUUUGGUACCAUAGUCGGACCAUGAGUGUUUGGAUGAUUGUAAUGUUAUUCAUGUACUUUGUGUGACGUGGCGAGUGUAAGCCAACUAUGUACCUUUCCCCUUAUUAUCUAUUUACACGGGUUGUUGUGAAGAUUACCUUACUUGCGACAUUGCUUUCUAUGCGGUUAUGCCUCUAAGUCGUGCUUUGACACGUAGGAGAUAUAACCGCAUCGAGGGCGUUACAAGUUGGUAAUCAGAGCCUUCCCCGACCUUAGGAGCCCCCACUGCUUGAUUGAAUUAGCUGACGAGUUGAGUCUAGAAAAAUGUUUUGUGUCAUUUAGGAAUUAUAUAUCGGAGAGUUUAGGAAUUCUUUUUACUCCCCAGUCCCUUCAUCGCUCUGGUAAGGCAUCCUAACGUAGAGUUUUGACUCUUCUCUUCUCAAAUUUCACUAAAUGUUUUUAGGAUCACGCGGGUAUCUUGGAAUCGUUCCGAUCGAUUUGUGACGAGAACAUUGUUCUUGGUGCCUCCUGUCAUUUUGGGGUUGUGGCAGUGUCCCGGGGAGUUGAGCUCCGAGGUGUUGUCGUCACAAUUUUAUCGUUGAAGUUCUGGAAUACCUGAGUUUAGUUCGCCGACAUCGAAAAUCUCUUUUAUGAAGUUGUUGGUGAGAUAACCUCGACGCCACCCAGUACUAGGUCGGGAGUUCGGGAGUAUUGCCAUAACUUGUAUAACAGAUGCUUUUCGAAGGUUGAGGUAGACGAUUUCCGAAGUUUUUCUUGGUUAUGUGUUGAAGGAUGGAUACAGCUGGAUGUAGGAUUUGCUAGAUUUGGGUGAGAUAUUAUGCUUCCCCUGUAUCCCCAACACCUGAUUGCAUAACCGGAAAGGUUCAGGAGUUUCAUAGGUGGGAAUUCUUGUAGCUCUAGUUCUUCUUCCACGGAUAUUUGGUUUGAGAUUGAGUGAUCCUUACCGAGUAUUUGUUCUUGUUCCGUACCUUGUUGAUUUUAUUUCUUCUACCUAAAUUCUAAGUGGCUUCUCAAUUUAUGGAUAUGUGACCAUUUCAAUUGGAAUGCAUUCGUUCAUUUCGUUCGGAUGCGAAGACUAUAUGUUGCAAUUUCAACCCGUUUGGUUCAGCUUCAAUAUUUAUCUGUCAGUGUGCUAACGGAUGUCAACCUCUUUAGGAUGGCUCCUCCAACGCGCACGACUCUGAAUCCUGAUCCGCCACCACCACCUCCACCUCCGGAGGCAUGGCAAGCUGUGAUGGCCGCUACCAAUGCAAACACGUAGCUGAUCAUGCAAAUUCUUCAAGAGCGCAACCAAGCAAACCAAGGCAACCAAGGCAACCAUCAGAAUCACUUUGCUACACUCAACCAGUUCCUUGCUAACCAGCCAAAGACUUUCAGCAAUUGUGUUGAGGCAACUGACGCUGAUGAUUGGCUCGUGGACUUGUGCAAGCAUUUCGAGUGCAGUAACGUCAGGCCUGAGGACUUUGUCAAGUUUGCUUCCUUCCAACUCAAAGACCAAGCUGCAGAAUGGUUUCAGCAGUACAAAGAUUCCAGAGGAGGCCGUGUGAUUACCUGGGAUGAAUUCCGUCAAGACUUCAAAGCUCAUCAUAUUCCUGAGAGCGUGGUUGAAAGCAAGCGUGAGGAAUUCUGCAACCUGAAGCAAGGCUCUAUGUCUGUCUAUGAGUACAACAAGAUGUUUCAGAAGCUCGCCCGCUUUGCUAAGCAGGACGUACCUGACGAGAAGAGCAUGAUAUACCAGUUCAGGGGUGGUCUCAGAGAAGAAAUCCAGUUAGCUCUUGUCCUCUUUGAGCCCAGGAGGUACGAUGAGUUUUACAACAUGGCAUUGAAGCAAGAGGCUGCUCAAUUGAAGUGUGAUGCUUCCAAGAAGCGAGUCAGAGAUGCUACUCCUUCUUCCUCAACUCAAGUGGCUAAGCAGCAGAAGUAUUGGCUUCCUCCUCCUCGUUUCAUCAGCCUUAUCAGUAGAGGAGCAAAGGUGGCAGUGGACAUUCCCACCCACCCAACCCUGGCUUUCAGAACAAGACUUCAUCUCAAGCUUCAAGAUCGAGUGCUCCGUAUCACCGUCCGCUUUCAGAGGUCACGUGCAACAAGUGCCAACAGAAGGGUCACUAUGCCAACAAAUGCUUCAAUCAGAGGCGCCUCCCUCCUCCUCCUCCUCCUCCUCCUCCUCCUGUGAGAUCGGCAAGUACAACUGUGGUCAAGCAUAACCCCAAGCACGCCAAGGUCAACUUGAUGAAUGCAACUCAGGCAGAGGACUCGUCAGAUGUCAUCAUGGGUAACCUUCCUGUUAACGAUAUUCCAGCUAAAGUUGUUUUUGACACUGGUGCAUCGCAUUGUUUCAUCUCAAGACCGUUUGCAUCUAAGCAUGAGUUGGCUUUGCAAGUUUUGCCUAGAGCGAUAGCAGUCGUCUCUCCCGGUAGGCGCAUGAGUGCUAACUCCAUUGUUCCGGAUGUUACUAUCACUUUGGGUGACUACAAGUUUUUGUCUUCUCCUACGGUUCUUGGUGACUCGGAUAUUGAUCUUAUUCUCGGAAUGGAUUGGCUUUCUAAGCACAAGGCUCAGCUUGAUUGUGCAGCCAGGCAGAUUCAAUUGACUCAUUCGUCUGAGGAUGUAAUUGUCUUUGCCGCUCGUGAUGAUACCAUCCGCCUGUUUUCUCUCAAUGAGAAGGGUGAACUGGAUGCCAUCUCGCAAAUUCCAGUCAUUUGCGAGUAUCAAGACGUCUUUCUAGAAGAGCUUCCAGGAAUGCCUUCGCACUGGCCAGUUGAAUUCGUCAUCGAUCUUGAGCCUGGCACGGAACGGGUUUGCAAGCGUCCUUACAAGCUUGGACCUGAAGAGUUGAAGGAGCUGAAGAAGCAACUCAAUAUUCAAGAGAGAAUGGGUCUCAUCCGACCUAGUUCUUCUCCGUGGGGUUGUGGAGUUCUUUUUGUGAAGAAGAAGGAUGGAACGAACCGACUUUGUGUUGACUACCGUCCAUUGAACAAGAAGACUAUCAAGAACAAGUACCCACUUCCCAACAUCAAUGAGCUGUUCGAACAACUCAAAGGUGCCCAAGUAUUCUCCAAGAUGGAUCUCUGUAUGGGUUAUCACCAGAUUCGAAUCCGUGAGCAAGAUAUUCCCAAGACGGCUUUCAGAACAAGCUAUGGUUCAUAUGAAUACACUGUCAUGUCUUUUGGCCUCGUCAACGCUCCUCCGACUUUCUCUCGCAUGAUGAACUUCAUUUUCAACGCCUACACAAAUGACUUCGUUUUGGUCUAUCUCGAUGACAUUCUGGUCUUUUCGAAGAACAAGGAAGAUCAUGCCAAGCACUUGCGUUUAGUGCUCGAUAAGCUCAGGGAACAUCAGUUCUACGCCAAGUUCUCAAAGUGCGAGUUUUGGCUCGAUGAGGUUCUCUAUCUUGGGCAUAUCAUCUCUGCCAAGGGCAUAUCAGUGAAUCCUGAGAAGGUGUCUGCAAUUGUGAAUUGGGAACCACCUCAGAACAUGAAGCAACUCCGUAGCUUCCUUGGUCUCGCAAGCUACUGUCGAACGUUCGUUGAGAACUUUUCAAAGAUCGUGAAUCCUCUUUCAAACCUUCUCCAGAAGCACGUCAAGUACGUUUGGUCUCCGGAAUGUGACAUUGCUUUCAACACUUUGAAAGAGAAAUUGGUCACUGCUCUAGUUCUGACUCCUCCUGAUGAAUCCAAACUGUUCGAGGUCUUCUGCGAUGCCUCUCUUCAAGGUCUUGGUGCAGUGUUGAUGCAAGAGAAGAAAGUUGUGGCUUAUACCUCUCGCCAGUUGAAGCCCAACGAGAAGAACUACCCCACUCAUGACCUCGAGUUGGAGGCAGUUGUGCAUGCUCUUUUGACUUGGAGACAUCUCUUAUUGGGAAGAAAAGCGGACAUUUUCACUGACCACAGGAGUCUCAAGUACAUCUUCACUCAGCCUAAUCUCAACCUCAGGCAGACUCGUUGGGUCGAAAUGAUUCAAGAGUAUAAUCCGAGUAUCGAGUAUACUCCAGGCAAGGCCAAUGUGAUUGCUGACGCUUUGAGCAGGAAGGCUUAUUGCAACAGUCUGAUUCUCAAGCCUUACCAACCCGAGCUUUGUGAAGCUUUCCGCAAACUCAAUCUGCAAGUUGUUCCUCAAGGUUUCCUCGCCAACCUUCAAGUCUCUCCUACCUUGGAAGAUCAGAUUCGCGAGGCUCAACUUCUUGAUGCUAUGGUGAAGAAGGUGGAGAUUGGGAUUGCCAAGAGUCAACCCAAGUACAAGUGCUACCGCCUUGAUGACAAGGAUACUCUCUUCUUCGAGGAUCGUAUUGUUGUGCCCAAAGGUGACCUUCGUAAAGUUAUCAUGAAUGAGGCUCACAAUUCACUCCUCUCCAUCCACCCUGGGAGUAUGAAGAUGUAUCAGGACCUCAAGCAGGCUUAUUGGUGGACUCGAAUGAAGCACGAGAUUGCUCAGUUCGUGAAUGAAUGUGAUGUCUGCAGAAGAGUGAAGGUAGAACACCAAAGGACAGCUGGUCUCCUCCAACCUCUUGCCAUUCCAGAAUGGAAGUUUGACCACAUUGAGAUGGACUUCGUGACUGGGUUUCCAAAGUCCAAGCGUGGCAAUGAUACUAUAUUCGUUGUCAUCGACAAACUCACUAAAGUGGCUCACUUUCUGCCUAUCAAAGAGUCUAUCACUUCAGCUCAAUUGGCGGAGCUUUAUACCUCUUGAAUUGUCUCUCUGCACGGCAUUCCACAUGUGAUCUCUUCAGACCAUGGCAGAAUCUUUAACUCCAAGUUUUGGGAUUCUUUUCAGAAGGACAUGGGCACCAACAUCCGCUUCAGCACAACUUUCCAUCCUCAAACUAGCGGUCAAGUCGAGCGUGUCAAUCAGAUUCUUGAAGAUAUGCUCAGGGCUUGUGUGAUCUCCUUCGGCAUGAAGUGGGAAGAUUGUCUUCCAUACGAUGAAUUCUCCUACAACAACAGUUUUCAAGCAAGUUCGGGCAAGGCCCCAUUCGAAAUUCGGUAUGGCAGAAAGUGCCGUACUCCUCUUAACUGGUCAGAGACCGGUGAAUGUCAACUUCUUGGAAAUGACUUGAUCAUAGAGGUAGAGGAGAUGUGCAAAGUCAAUCGAGAUAACCUCAAAGCAGCGCAAUUGCGACAGAAGAGCUACUAUGAUAGUAAGCACCGUGAUUUGGCAUUCGAGAUCGGAGAUCAUGUUUACCUCCGCGUCUCUCCAAUGAAAGGUACUCGUCGCUUCGGUAUCAAAGGGAAGCUUGCCCCUAGAUACGUGGGUCCUUUCAAAAUCGUCAGCAAGAGAGGCGAUCUCGCCUAUCAACUCGAGCUUCCUUCAAACUUUGCAAAUGUGCAUGACGUGUUCCAUGUCUCUUAGAUCCGCAAGUGCUUCAAGACUCCUGACCGCACCGUCAACUUCGAAGACAUUGAUCUCCAAGAAGACCUCUCUUAUCGUGAGCACCCAGUUGUUAUUCUUGAAGAGACUGAACGCAAGACUCGCAACAAGUUAAUCAAAUUCCUCAAAGUCAAGUGGUCACACCAUUCCGACCGUGAAGCCACCUGGGAACGCGAGGAUCACCUUCGUUCUGAGUACCCGGCGUUCUUCCAGUCCUAGAUCUCGGGACGAGAUCCUUUCUUAGUGGUGGAGUGUUGUAACACCCCGGAUGUAAUUUACCUUAUAUGUAUCCCAACUCUUGCCAUUUCCGGUGCUAAGUUAUUU
rnacentral:lncRNA from 1 species